UGAUCAUCACCAUGUCGGUCCUGGG
rnacentral:piRNA from 1 species